AUAUCCAAAACCUCUGAAACUAAAGCUACCAAAAAAUCCAAUCUUCCCUCCAACGAACGGUUCUAAACACUCAGCAAACAAACACAGUCUUCCCCUCUCUCUCUCUCUCUCUCUCUCUCUCUCUCUCUUAACCACCUAAGCAAGCAUUUCUACAACCUUCACCUGACGGUCCGCUCGAGGCCGCAAAUUUCUGCGGUUUAUCCGCCUAAGCCAAUGACCCAAAACCA
rnacentral:lncRNA from 1 species